rnacentral:lncRNA from 1 species
CAGGAAGUAAAUAUUUACGCAUAAUGAGAAGUCGAAACAAAUACACCGCACAAUUCAGAAAAACAACAUAAUAUUUUUUACCAACUGCUGCGCAUGCCUCUAAAAUGUUUUUCCUCUGAUGAUCGGAAGUAUUUUCCUCAGACUAGCUUCUGGUUCUGUACAUUUCAAAUCUGUUUCUGCUGUUUCUCCUCUGUUGCCUAUUCACUUUCAGGACCAGGCAGCAUAAAACACAUUCAGGUCACAAGAUGACCUCUGGAUGUGACAGCUUGAUGUCACAAUGCCGAAGAAGUUGGACAGCGAGUAGGAAGAUUUCUACCAGUCAUUCUCUACACAGAGGUGGCCAGCAAUGAUUUAUCUAUACUCAGAGGUGACUCAGAACCGCAUAAAUAUGUCCCACUGAACCCAAAGCAAAUUGAUCCCGAACUCAACUUCCCCAUAGCCAGAUCCCAGAAAUACCCAUGGCGCCUCCAACCACCUCACAUAAACGGAAACUGGGACACAAGGGAAGUUGGAGUAGAAAGAACUAGCAAUCUUAACUGAUUGUGGAUAAAACAUCUUACCUUCGCAAAUUUCCCAAGAACAUGAAGAGAUGAACACACUGCAGAGGCCCCUCCCUGGGCCUGAGGAGAGGCCCUGAUGCUCAGGAAGCUUUAGCUUCAUGCUGAGUCUGCCUCUGCGUUGAGCUGAGAUUUGAAGAGAAGAUCAGAUUCUUGUGCUUAAAACCUCCCAGGCUGGUCAGGGCCAGGAGACUCCAGGAGUCAUCACAAGAGAUUAAUGAGGUUGAGAGCCAGGGGCAGAGCAGGUUGUGAAGAUCGAAUAAUAACAUACUCGCUCACAGGCAGUGCACCUGACGAUCAGCGUCUACUGGCUGGGAAGACAAGAUUUGGACAUGAAAAGAUGAGAGAUCUACACUGUGACCUGAAUUGGGCAAUGCUCAGUUACACAGUAGAGGAGGUGGGAGGUGCCCAGUCACAAGGAUGAUCCAAGUCAUUCAUGGAAACACCUUCCCCUUUGCCACCCAGGCUCCUGAUUAUAAUGCUAUACUGCUUGGCGGUAAAAGGAAGUCUCUGGACAAGAUGACCUCUGAAGGCCUUUCCAGCUCAACUAUUCUUUGAUUUGCUGUCCCAUUUCUAGCUAUAUGAUGAAUAAACCAGCUUAUCCUCGAGAAGAAAGAAAUAAGGACUGUCUUUAGCCGUCUGAAAAGCUGUCAUAUUGGGCCCCUCCCAGCUCCUCCCAGCCAUUCGGAGCAGUAAGUGAAGAUGUCAGCACCUUGGACAGAGCCCAACGCAUUACAGUACUCGAAGCCAGCGGAAGCCAAGCUCUCCAACUCCUUUAGCCUCGGGGUGAUGGAUUUCCUCGUUUCUCAAUUUGAUUAAAGCCCAGUAGAUAACCAG